UACGAAGGGUGCAAGCGUUAAUCGGAAUUACUGGGCGUAGAGCGUGCGUAGGCGGUUAUUUAAGUCUGUUGUGAAAUCCCCGGGCUCAACCUGGGAAUGGCAAUGGAUACUGGAUAGCUAGAGUGUGAUAGAGGAUGGUGGAAUUCCCGGUGUAGCGGUGAAAUGCGUAGAGAUCGGGAGGAACAUCAGUGGCGAAGGCGGCCAUCUGGAUCAACACUGACGCUGAGGCACGAAAGCGUGGGGAGCAAACAGG
rnacentral:rRNA from 1 species